GUCUGCGGCCAUACCACCCUGAACGCGCCCGAUCUCCUCUGAUCUCGGAAGCUAAGCAGGGUCGGGCCUGGUUAGUACUUGGAUGGGAGACCAAUAGCACAAUUUAACUCAGGGCUCUACAAAGA
ensembl:rRNA 5S_rRNA 5S ribosomal RNA